rnacentral:snoRNA from 1 species
GUGAAAGGAUAGAAAAAGAUUUACCAACUUGUGAUGUCUUCAAAGGAACCACUGAUGCAC